CUUGGUGCCUCUUCCACGAUGGUCACACCUGUUUCCAUCCCGAACACAGAAGUUAAGCGUCGUAGGGCCGAUGGUAGUCCGAUUGGGCGAGAGUAGGUCGGCGCCAGGA
rnacentral:rRNA from 4 species